UACCAGCUCUUCGAGUGGUGUGGAUGUUUAUUGGGCCUAAAGCAUCCGUAGCUGGCUAGGCAAGUCCCCUGUUAAAUCCACCAAUUUAAUCGUUGGAGUGCGGGGGAUACUGUUCGGCUAGGGGACGGGAGAGGCAGACGGUAUUUUCGGGGUAGGGGUGAAAUCCUAUAAUCCCGGGAAGACCACCAGUGGCGAAGGCUGUCUGCUAGAACGCGCCCGACGGUGAGGGAUGAAAGCUGGGGGGAGCGAACCGGAUUAGAUACCCGGGUAGUCCCAGCUGUAAACGAUGCAGGCUAGGUGUUUGGGCGGCCACGUGCCGCUCUAGUGCCGCAGGGAAGCCGUUAAGCCUGCCGCCUGGGGAGUACGGCCGCAAGGCUGAAACUUAAAGGAAUUGGCGGGGGAGCACCACAAGGGGUGAAGCUUGCGGUUU
rnacentral:rRNA from 1 species